ensembl:lncRNA
AAAGCGGUGGAGUAAAAUUUCUUGUCUUUUUAAAAGAAGAGCCAACCGUAUCCUGGGCUGCAUCAAAGGAAGAGUGGCCAGCAGGGAGAGGGAGGUGAUCCUGCCCCUCUGCUCUGCCUGCCCUGAGGUGAGACUUCACCUGGAGUACCGCGUCCAGAUGUGGAGUCCUCAGUACAGGAGAGACAUGGAGCUGUUGGAGUGCAUCCGGAGGAGGGCCACAGAAAUGACCCAAGGGAUGGAACACCUCUCCUAUGAGGACAGGCUGAGGGAGUUGGGCCUGGAGAAGAGAAGGUUCCGAGAUGACCUAAUAGCAGCUCCGGUGCUUUGUUUGAAAUCAUCCCUGCAGGGCCCAGUGCUUCAGAUUACAGCUGGCAGUGAGAUACAGCAGUGUUCAGGGGCUCCUGGCUCUGCAGCACCACAGGCACCCCACAGGGUUGCACCUCUGUCACAAGAAGGACAAGUGGCACGAGGACUAGCAAAACACCACAUUUUUGAUCUUCCUCCUUUGUCUCUCAAGUUCAUCAAUGGAAAUCAUAAAAGAUCAAUUUCAGCCGCACACGACUAUAAUAUUUCGAUUUCAAACGGUGUGGGAGAAUGUGUAUUUAACAAUGCUAUUGUGGUUCAGUUUAGAAGAGAAUACGUGAAGUACUUUCCAGAUUGUGGGGACAAAGGUAAGCGCACUGUUAUACUGAAUGUUCCUGAGAGACAGCAAGCAAGAGAGCCACUGCGCACAGCCCAUUGAAGCCCCCUGCUCACCCACAGACAGCAUUGCAACUAUUGCUCCAAUAGCACUAGUAUUUUUUUCUCCAAAACUUGCUUGGAAUGUAUAUUUACAGAAGUGUGUGGAUGCUGGGGGCAUGUUCUAAUUUAUUUAAUAGCAGUCUUUCCCAUGGUGUCUGCUGCCAAACACGUGCUGUCGUUAUAACUGUGCUGUGUCAUAACACAGUGGAGUUGUUCUGAUGUUGUGAGCAUAAGAAGUUUGCUAAAUAAUUCUAGAAAGCCAGAAGAGGGAGUGCAGGAACAGAAAACACCCAGAAAUAAGCAUCUUAAUUGAUGUGGCUAUUUCAGCUGCAACCUUAAAAAAAGUAAAUCCAGGAAGGACUGGUGUCCUGCUUGGCUCUCUGACAACAGGAAUGUGUCACGGGGGGUGCCAAUCACCUGCUGAAACACAGCCUGGAGGAACAUCAGUGUGGCUGCCCCAAAAUGUAGAGAGCACCACAGUCGUUAGUCAUUUUUGCCAGUGAAAACCUUAGAUCCUGAGAUGAAAGAGCUUCUGACAAUUUUGGAAGAUGCAGAGUUUUGUCACAGUAUUUCUGGCCAAGCUUUCCUGAGGCACUGAUUAUCCAAGAUGGCUUCUGUUAAUCUCAUUGGCAAGGAUGGAUGGAUUAUAUUGUGCUUAUGGGCUCUAUGCAUCAUCCUUAAUAAUAUCGGUAUUUUAAUUGUAUGCAAUACAAUUACUAAAGAACCUCAUUUAUAACCACUAAAGCGUACCAAAGUGCCAGCUGUGAUACAGAGUACUGCUGCAUUUGUUCUUUUUAGAAGCCACAGAUAAAUUUCCCUUUAUUAUGACAAUGCUAGCUAUCUCUUGUGUCCAAGUGAGGGCAUUUAUGUUUGCAUGCAUACAUGCAAUUGUGACCUGU